rnacentral:rRNA from 1 species
UUUUAUGCAUGUCACCCUGCAGCCCAAGACCGGUAACUCACUGAAGCUAAGCAGGGCUGAGCCUGGUCAGUACCUGGAUGGGAGACCACUAGGGAACACUAGGUUGCUGUUGGAA